CUGGAGGUAUCAGAAGUGCGAAUGCUGACAUAAGUAACGAUAAAGCGGGUGAAAAGCCCGCUCGCCGGAAGACCAAGGGUUCCUGUCCAACGUUAAUCGGGGCAGGGUGAGUCGACCCCUAAGGCGAGGCCGAAAGGCGUAGUCGAUGGGAAACGGGUUAAUAUUCCCGUACUUGGUGUUACUGCGAAGGGGGGACGGAGAAGGCUAUGUUGGCCGGGCGACGGUUGUCCCGGUUUAAGCGUGUAGGCUGGUUUUCCAGGCAAAUCCGGAAAAUCAAGGCUGAGGCGUGACGACGAGGCACUACGGUGCUGAAGCAACAA
rnacentral:rRNA from 1 species